rnacentral:rRNA from 1 species
CGAACGGGUGAGUAAUGCGUGACCAACCUGCCCCAUGCUCCAGAAUAGCUCUUGGAAACGGGUGGUAAUGCUGGAUGCUCCAACUUGACGCAUGUCUUGUUGGGAAAGUGUUUAGUGGCAUGGGAUGGGGUCGCGUCCUAUCAGCUUGUAGGCGGGGUAAUGGCCCACCUAGGCUUCGACGGGUAGCCGGCCUGAGAGGGCGGACGGCCACAUUGGGACUGAGAUACGGCCCAGACUCCUACGGGAGGCAGCAGAC